GUGGGGAAUAUUGGACAAUGGGCGAAAGCCUGAUCCAGCCAUGCCGCGUGUGUGAAGAAGGUCUUCGGAUUGUAAAGCACUUUAAGUUGGGAGGAAGGGCUGUCGGUUAAUACCCUGCAGUUUUGACGUUACCAACAGAAUAAGCACCGGCUAACUUCGUGCCAGCAGCCGCGGUAAUACGAAGGGUGCAAGCGUUAAUCGGAAUUACUGGGCGUAAAGCGCGCGUAGGUGGUUCAGCAAGUUGGAUGUGAAAGGCUCGGGCUCAACCUGGGAAAUGCAUCCAAAACUACUGAGCUAGAGUACGGUAGAGGGUGGUGGAAUUUCCUGUGUAGCGGUGAAAUGCGUAGAUAUAGGAAGGAACACCAGUGGCGAAGGCGACCACCUGGACUGAUACUGACACUGAGGUGCGAAAGCGUGGGGAGCAAACAGGAUUAGAAACCCGGGUAGUCC
rnacentral:rRNA from 1 species